rnacentral:rRNA from 1 species
AACGAACGCUGGCGGCAGGCCUAACACAUGCAAGUCGAGCGAGACCUUCGGGUCUAGCGGCGGACGGGUUAGUAACGCGUGGGAACGUGCCCUUCUCUGCGGAAUAGCCACUGGAAGCGGUGAGUAAUACCGCAUACGCCCUUCGGGGGAAAGAUUUAUCGGAGAAGGAUCGGCCCGCGUUAGAUUAGAUAGUUGGUGGGUAACGGCCUUCCAAGUCUACGAUCUAUAGCUGGUUUUAGAGGAUGAUCAGCAACACUGGGACUGAGACACGGCCCAGACUCCUACGGGAGGCAGCAGUGGGGAAUCUUAGACAAUGGGCGCAAGCCUGAUCUAGCCAUGCCGCGUGUGUGAUGAAGGUCUUAGGAUCGUAAAGCACUUUCGCCAGGGAUGAUAAUGACAGUACCUGGUAAAGAAACCCCGGCUAACUCCGUG